rnacentral:lncRNA from 1 species
AUGAAAGGGAAGGGGAUUGUAGUUACGACGUAAGGAACAUAUCCGAUAUCAUUUGUGAAACGGUUAUUCCAUAACGGUCAACCAACUCGUGAUGGCGUCCGUAAAAUUUACGAAGGGAUGAUUUCAACUUCACCAUUUGGAACUCUUGGUUUAAUAGCUUCCUUGUGAGCAGUAACCCUCUAUCAAGAAAAUCAUUAUAGGAAAUGCAAGCACGGGAAUAUCGUAUCAAUUGCACAUAGGCCAAGGUGAGCAAC